GUAACACGUAGUCAACCUGCCCUGGAGACAUGGAAAACCCCGGGGAACUGGGAUUAAUCCGUGAUAGGUCACCUCAUCUGGAAGGAGAGAUGGCUUAAAGGGGUGCGAGAGCUUCUUUCUUGCAUUCGCUCCAGGAUGGGACUGCGGCCGAUCAGGCUGUUGGCGGUGUAAUGGACCACCAAACCUGUAACCGGUACGGGCCUUGAGAGAGGGGGCCCGGAGAUGGACACUGAGAGAAGGGUCCAGGUCCUACGGGGCGCAGCAGGCGCGAAACCUUCGCAAUGCGCGAAAGCGUGACGAGGUUAAUCCGAGUGGUCCCCGCUGAGGGGAUCUUUUGUUGGCUGUAAAAAGGCCGAUGAAUAAGGGGAGGGCAAGUCUGGUGUCAGCCGCCGCGGUAAUACCAGCUCCUCGAGUGGUCGGGGCGAUUAUUGGGCCUAAAGCAUCCGUAGUCGGUUCUGUAGGUCCUCUGUCAAAUCCAACGGCUUAACCGUUGGCCCGCAGAGGAUACCGCAGGACU
rnacentral:rRNA from 1 species